rnacentral:lncRNA from 1 species
AUUGUAUAGUUCUAGAGAUUGGAUUUCACUAAAAACCCACCAAAUGACUCCUCCCACAAUAUUAUGAUGUUCCCCAAGUUUUGGACUCAAUCCGAUAUCGAUCGGUCCACGAAAUUUGACAUUUCAGGUUCGUACGAAGUGCGUUCUGAAAUGGGGUGGUUGGUGUAUUGUAUAGUUCUGGAGAUUGGAUUUCACUCAAAACCCACCAAAUGAAUCCUCCCACAAUAUUAUGGUGUUCCCCAAGUUUUGGACUCACUCCGAUAUCGAUCGGUCCACGAAAUUUGACAAUUCAGGUUCGUACGAAGUUCGUUCUGAAAUGGGGUGGUUGGUGUAUUGUAUAGUUCUGGAGAUUGGAUUUCACU